rnacentral:lncRNA from 1 species
AACCUAUGUGGCGUGGGCUUGGUAGAAAAUGAACAUCUCUCUGUGGUUUUGCACAAAGUGCUAAGGCGUCCCUCCAAACAGUUGUGUGGCAGGAGCCGUCAGCAUCUACCUGCACAGCUGCGGCCCAGUGGCGACGGGAAGGCCAUUUACAGGUGUCCCUGGGCAGGAGCGCCAGACUCCCAGGACCUUCCCCGAGCAGACUUCGCUGCUCGCCAGCCCCACUCUGGGAAGCCGGCGGCCGGGACUUGCGGUGGCCGCACAGGAAGGGCGGAGGCCCUACGCGCGGUCCGACCCCGUCGCUCCGUCCCAGCCCAGACCCCAGCCCCGGGCGGCCCCGAGCCCCGCCCGCCGGCUCGCCCCGCCGGCCGCGCGCCUGCGCACCGGCCCCGGGUUAGCAGAGGUGGAGCGCCGGGAGGGAGGCAGGCGGACGGACGCCGUGACGGCGCGAGCGUGGUCACGUGCCUGCCGGUCACCGCCGCCACCUCCCGCCCUUCAGGUUCCACGAGAGCCCGGCAGACUGAGGGGGAGACACACAGAGAGCGAGAGAGUGAGAAACAGAGAGAGAGAGAGGAAGGAGGGGAGGAGGAUCAGGGAGUAGGAGCUGGGGAGCCCUGCCGCGCACAGAAAGUUUCUAAUGCCUGGGUGAAGAUAGGAAAACUGUCAGAUAGGCUGAGCACUGUCAUACUAUUUCCCAAUAUUUUUACAAUUCCCAUGAAAAUAGCCAGAAAAGGAAUUGGCACCCCUUGCUUUGGAAUGGUGGUAAAGAAUUCUGUAUGUGGACGUCUGAGGAAGCCAGCUGUUGUGUGCAGCCUUUCUCUAGGUGUGGCCUUCUGUCUUUCUUUGCCUAUAUUGUGCUUCUUUUCUUCUUUCUUGUUUUCACUAAUGGUUUGUCAGUUUCUUUUAUUAAAUACAUCCAGUCACAGCACAGUUAAUAAUUGCAGUUUAAAUGAAAAUUGACUUGAAAUUUAAAUGCAUAUAAAGUGUAUAUUUAAAAAAUAAUAAAUUGCAAUUGAGAUACUUACUGUGUUGUUAC